ACUUCGGUGGUGUAGUGGUAGCACGAGCUUCCAGUAUGGGCAAAACGCAGGUUCAACUCCCGCCUGAAGUU